rnacentral:misc_RNA from 1 species
AACAAGGCGUACCUGCGGACCUGCGGAAGGAUCAUUACAAGUGACCCCGGUCUAACCACCGGGAUGUUCAUAACCCUUUGUUGUCCGACUCUGUUGCCUCCGGGGCGACCCUGCCUUUGGGCGGGGGCUCCGGGUGGACACUUCAAACUCUUGCGUAACUUUGCAGUCUGAGUAAACUUAAUUAAUAAAUUAAAACUUUCAGCAACGGAUCU